GUGUCAGCAGCCGCGGUAAGACGGAAGGUGCAAGCGUUGCUCGGAAUCACUGGGCGUAAAGGGUGCGUAGGCGGCCGUGCAAGUCUGGCGUGAAAGCCCCGGGCUCAGCCCGGGAAGUGCGCUCGAAACUGCGCGGCUCGAGUGCCGGAGGGGAGAGUGGAAUUCCUGGUGUAGCGGUGAAAUGCGUAGAUAUCAGGAGGAAUACCGGUGGCGAAAGCGACUCUCUGGACGGCAACUGACGCUGAGGCACGAAAGCGUGGGGAGCAAACAGGAUUAGAUACCCUGGUAGUCC
rnacentral:rRNA from 1 species